UAGGGAAUCUUCGGCAAUGGACGAAAGGCUGACCGAGCAACGCCGCGUGAGUGAAGAAGGUUUUCGGAUCGUAAAACUCUGUUGUUAGAGAAGAACAAGGACGUUAGUAACUGAACGUCCCCUGACGGUAUCUAACCAGAAAGCCACGGCUAACUACGUGCCAGCAGCCGCGGUAAUACGUAGGUGGCAAGCGUUGUCCGGAUUGAUUGGGCGUAAAGCGAGCGCAGGCGGUUUCUUAAGUCUGAUGUGAAAGCCCCCGGCUCAACCGGGGAGGGUCAUUGGAAACUGGGAGACUUGAGUGCAGAAGAGGAGGGUGGAAUUCCAUGUGUAGCGGUGAAAUGCGUAGAUAUAUGGAGGAACACCAGUGGCGAGGGCGGCUCUCUGGUCUGUAACUGACGCUGAGGCUCGAAAGCGUGGGGAGCAAGCAGG
rnacentral:rRNA from 1 species